GACGAGGGGUGCAAGCGUUAUUCGGAAUUAUUGGGCGUAAAGGGUGUGUAGACGGUAUGCUAAGUCUGUUGUUAAAUCUCCCGGCUUAACCGGGAACAAGCAGUGGAUACUGGUGUGCUAGAGGGUGGAAGAGAGAAGUGGAAUUCUCGGAGUAGCGGUAAAAUGCGUAGAUCUCGAGAGGAACACCAAUGGCGAAGGCAGCUUCUUGGUCCAUUUCUGACGUUGAAACACGAAAGCGUGGGGAG
rnacentral:rRNA from 1 species